rnacentral:rRNA from 1 species
AGAUUGAACGCUGGCGGCAUGGCUAAAACAUGCAAGUCGAGCGCGAAAGUGGAGCGAUCCAUGAGUAGAGCGGCGAAAGGGUGAGUAAUGCGUUCCUACGUACCUCAAGGUCAGGGAUAGCCAGGGGAAACUCUGGGUAAUACCUGAUGUGAUCGAGAGAUCAAAGGCUUGCCGCCUUGAGGAGCGGGAACGUCCUAUCAGCUAGUUGGUGAGGUAACGCUACACCAAGGUCUUUGGACGGGUAGCGGGUGUGAGAGCAGUCGGCCCGCCACAUACGAAACUGACGACACUGUCGACUCCGUACGGGAGCUGCAGUAACGAUCUCCGACAAUGCGACGAAGCGUAGGACGGAGACAAGUCGGCCGCGUGGACCG